GACAGAGGGUGCAAACGUUGUUCGGAAUUACUGGGCGUAAAGCGCGUGUAGGCGGCCCUGCAAGUCGGAUGUGAAAUCCCACGGCUCAACCGUGGAAGUGCAUUCGAAACUGCAGGGCUAGAGUCCUGGAGAGGAAGGUGGAAUGCUUGGUGUAGAGGUGAAAUUCGUAGAUAUCAAGCGGAACACCGGUGGCGAAGGCGGCUCACUGGCUCAUUUCUGACGCUCAGGCGCGACAGCGUGGGGAUCAAACAGG
rnacentral:rRNA from 1 species